CAUGGGCACCAUUGGAGGCCUCCAGGAGUUCUGGAGAAGAUGCUACAGAGAAGCGCUUGGCUGCAGUAGCUCUACCUUAAGCCAGGGAUUACUGAGAGUUACCCAUUCUGCUAUUUAUAAGGACUGAAUUCAUAGCUAGGGAGUUUAUGUAUGAAUAAUGGGAAAUAACUUUUUAUGGGAUAUUUCAUUUUGUUCUGUAGUUGGUAAAAAGAGCACUUUAUUAAAAUAGAAUUUGGUAGAUGAGAUCAAAGUUACCUUGAAAAAUUACUUUUACAAAUUUAUUUCUGUCUGAAUUUGCUGCUGCUUUUCUUAAUUCUGACUCUCCUGUUCUUUCUUUUCAUUCUUCUCCUUCCUUUUCCUUCUGCCUCUUUUUUUAUGAUGAUUUUUUGUGCUAUUGCAUUUAGGAAAUAAGGUAUUUUCUUUCUGAAAUGCAUGUACACAUGAUGUCAUUUACUGAUUUAGCCUUUGAAUCUAUUGGAAGAUUCUAAACAAAAAGACAUGUGUUGCUAUCUCUUUGCCACUUUGCCUGCCAGACAUCAAUAGUCAAUUGUAGCGUCAUUCUCAAUCUUGAGCUCCAGGGCACCCUGGUAAUUGAUGGGUAUUAGCAUAGGAGAGGAAACUGCUAUGAUCUAAUGGAAAUGAUUAGAUUAGGUAGACCAAUGUAGGCAGAUACUUGAUAUUCUUUUCCUUUCAUUUGUCCUUUGUUAGGAGAAGGAGGCUGAAUGAUUACUUCAGAAGAAGAGAGAUUCUUGGACAACUUCUUGAGUUCCAUGGGUUGUGAGUCUGUCUUGGGUACAGACUGUGCUGUUUCCCAUCCAUCUUGGAGAACUCCAAAAGAGACUAGAACCACAAGCUGGAUUUUCCACUCACCUCUCUCCAGGCCCCAGUGGCAGUUUAAUUCUCAUUAUGGACAGACGGGAUGCUUACUUUUUCUCUCCUCCUGUGGACUUUAUACAUAUUAAUGCCACUGGCUUUCCCCAUGGUCCAGCCUCCAUUAUUGACAUUGCCUGUCCUUAGAUGCUUUGAUGUUUGGCUCUCUUUGUGAUGGUGGCCAAUGGCCCAGGCCCGGGGCUGGCCUCCAUAGGGUCUCUUGGGAGGGUGAUAGAGAGGAGACAGUUCCCUAUGACAACAUCUUAUCUCAGUCCUCCCCAGAACCUUGGC
rnacentral:lncRNA from 1 species